rnacentral:rRNA from 1 species
GAUGAACGCUGGCGGCGUGCCUAAUACAUGCAAGUAGAACGCUGAAGGAGGAGCUUGCUCUUCUGGAUGAGUUGCGAACGGGUGAGUAACGCGUAGGUAACCUGCCUCUUAGCGGGGGAUAACUAUUGGAAACGAUAGCUAAUACCGCAUAAAAGUCGACAUUGCAUGAUGUUGACUUGAAAGGUGCAACUGCAUCACUAAGAGAUGGACCUGCGUUGUAUUAGCUAGUUGGUGAGGUAACGGCUCACCAAGGCGACGAUACAUAGCCGACCUGAGAGGGUGAUCGGCCACACUGGGACUGAGACACGGCCCAGACUCCUACGGGAGGCAGCAGUAGGGAAUCUUCGGCAAUGGACGGAAGUCUGACCGAGCAACGCCGCGUGAGUGAAGAAGGUUUUCGGAUCGUAAAGCUCUGUUGUAAGAGAAGAACGAGUGUGAGAGUGGAAAGUUCACACUGUGACGGUAUCUUACCAGAAAGGGACGGCUAACUACGUGCCAGCAGCCGCGGUAAUACGUAGGUCCCGAGCGUUAUCCGGAUUUAUUGGGCGUAAAGCGAGCGCAGGCGGUUAGAUAAGUCUGAAGUUAAAGGCUGUGGCUUAACCAUAGUACGCUUUGGAAACUGUUUAACUUGAGUGCAGAAGGGGAGAGUGGAAUUCCAUGUGUAGCGGUGAAAUGCGUAGAUAUAUGGAGGAACACCGGUGGCGAAAGCGGCUCUCUGGCUUGUAACUGACGCUGAGGCUCGAAAGCGUGGGGAGCAAACAGG